CCUACGGGUGGCAGCAGUGGGGAAUAUUGGACAAUGGGCGAAAGCCUGAUCCAGCCAUGCCGCGUGUGUGAAGAAGGCCUUCGGGUUGUAAAGCACUUUCAGUGGGGAAGAAAGCCUUGGGGCUAAUACCCUCGAGGAAGGACAUCACCCACAGAAGAAGCACCGGCUAACUCCGUGCCAGCAGCCGCGGUAAUACGGAGGGUGCGAGCGUUAAUCGGAAUUACUGGGCGUAAAGCGCGCGUAGGCGGUCUGAUAAGCCGGUUGUGAAAGCCCCGGGCUCAACCUGGGAACGGCAUCCGGAACUGUCAGGCUAGAGUGCAGGAGAGGAAGGUAGAAUUCCCGGUGUAGCGGUGAAAGGCGUAGAGAUCGGGAGGAAUACCAGUGGCGAAGGCGGCCUUCUGGACUGACACUGACGCUGAGGUGCGAAAGCGUGGGUAGCAAACAGGAUUAGAUACCCCGGUAGUC
rnacentral:rRNA from 1 species